UCUUGCUCACCCUCAGCCAAGCCCCCACUAUGAUGGAGGCAGGUGCCAGUGCCAUUGUCACUGCUGUCAUUGCAGAGUGGGAGUCAGGUUCCCAGAAAGCAGCUUGAUGAGUGUCCAAAGUAGGAGUGGAAGUUUGGAGAGGCCACCAUCUUGGUCCCACCUCUCCACAUCUCCAACUCCAGGCUCAGCGGCAAGCGGCAGCCAGGUCCCUGAUGAAACACACACCACCAUCCAGGAGGCCCAGGGAAGGUGCAAUGGAUGAGCUUUGUAGUCUGAAUCCAAGAAGGCAAGAGUUAUUGGAAGCUAGAUUUAUUGGAGUUGUAAGUGGGAACACUGGGAGUACCAGCAGUUGCAGUGUUGGAGCUAAAGCCUCAACAGAUAAUGAAAGCUCUUAUCACAGUUUUGGAAGCUUAGGAUCUUUAAGUGACAAAGAAUCAGAGAAACGACUGGCAGGCAGCUGAAAGGACUAUAACAGUGACUGGACUUUAUCUGCAGUGGGUUCCCUUGAGAAGCCAGAGAAGAAACAAUCAGAAUCAUCCAGGGGAAGAUAGAGAAAAGCAGAAAACCAGAAUGAAAAUUGUCAGGGAAAAAGUAUUGGGGGGACGUGGCCACAAAAGUAGUGACUAUUUUGAAUACCAGGGUGGAAAUGGCUCAAGUCCAGUAAGAGGCAUACCUCCUGCAAUCAGUUCUCCUCAAAAUUCACAUUCACAUUCCACUCCUUCCUCAUCUCUUCGACCAAAUAGCCCUUCUCCUACUGCAUUAGCAUUUGGGGACCACCCUAUUGUACAACCAAAGAAGUUAUCCUUUAAAAUUAUUCAGACUGAUCUCACAAUCCUGAAAUUAGCAGCAUUAGAAAGUAAUAAAAUCCAGGACCUGGAAAAGAAGGAAGGAUGUAUAGAUUAUUUGCUCAGGGCUAACCGUGAUCUCAGAUGGCAAAUAGAUGAACAAAAAAAAUUACUUGAAAAAUACAAAGAAUGAUUAAAUAAGUGCAUAUAAAUGAGCAAGAAACUUCUUUUGAAAAGAGUACACAAGAAAAACUGUCAGAGAGAAGAGUAUGCAAGAUUGAUUGCGUCUCAGGCACUUUACAACAGUUAGACAUGGCACUUCAUUUACUGAAUAAUGGAUAGAUGGUUUUGCAUUUCAGACUCUUGUGAAGCAACAAGAAUGGGUGAAUCAGCAAAGGGAAGAUAUUGAAAGGCAAAGGAAAAUUCUAGCCAAAUGCAAACCUCCCACAGCUAAUAAUUCUCAGACACCCUCUACCAAUUCUGAACCAAAACAAAGGAAAAACAAAGGAGUCAAUGGAGCAGAAAAUGAUCCCUUUGUUAGACCAAAUUUACCACAACUGUUGACUUUGGCAGAAUAUUAUGAACAGGAAGAAAUGUUCAAACUUAGACAAGGACAUCUCAGAAAAGAAGAGGCAGAAAUCCAAGCAGAACUUGAACGUUUGGAAAGAGUCAGAAAUCUUCACAUACGUGAGCUGAGAAGAAUAAACAAUGAAGAUAAUUCACAAUUCAAAGAUCACCCAAUGUUAAAUGAAAGAUAUUUAUUACUUCAUCUGCUUGGUAGAGGUGGCUUUAGUGAAGUGUAUAAGGCUUUUGACCUUUAUGAACAAAGCUAUGCUUCUGUGAAGCUACAUCAACUUAAUAAAAGCUGGAGAGAUGAGAAAAAAGAAAACUACUACAAACAUGCCUGCAGUAUAGAAUACACAAAGAACUGGAUCACCCCAGAAUAGUUAAACUCGAUGAUUAUUUCUCCUUGGAUACAGAUAUAUUUUGUACAGUGUUAGAAUACUGUGAAGGCAAUGACUUGGAUUUCUAUCUGAAGCAACACAAGCUAAUGUCAGAGAAAGAAGCUGAGUCUAUUGUAAUGCAGAUUGUAAAUGCACUAAGAUAUCCCAAUGAGAUCAACCCCCAUUAUACAUUAUGAUCUUAAGCCAGGAAACAUCCUUUUGGUAGACAGAACAGCAUGUGGUGAAACCAAAAUCACUGAUUUUGGUCUGUCCAAGAUUAUGGAUGAUGAUAGCUAUGGUGCAGAUGGAAUGAAUCUACCUCCUGAGUGUUUUGUAGUUGGAAAAGAGGCAGCAAAGAUUUCCGAUUUCCAACAAGAUUAAUGUGUGGUCAGUUGGAGUCAUCUUCUUUCAGUGUCUUUAUGGUAGAAAGCCAUUUGGUCACAAUCAAUCUCAACAAGAUAUUCUUCAAGAAAAUACAAUAUUAAAAGCCACAGAUGUCCAGUUUCCUGUAAAACCAGUUGUAAGCAGUGAACCCGAGGCCUUUAUAAGAUGCUGCUUGGCAUAUCAAAAAGAAGAUUGAUUUGAUGUGCACCAGCUGGCACAUGACCCAUGCCUUCUCCUACACAUGCGAAGAUCAAAUUCUUCAGGAGACCUACAACAUGACUGAGCUGACAACAUCUCCUACACUGCUUUCUUCAAGCAUAAUUACUU
rnacentral:lncRNA from 1 species